rnacentral:tRNA from 1 species
GAGGGUAUAGCUCAAUGGUAGAGUGCAUGCCUAUUGUGUACGAGGUCCUGAGUUCAAUCCCCAGUGCCUCUA